rnacentral:rRNA from 1 species
AACGCACCUUGCGCCCUUUGGUUAUUCCGGAGGGCAUGCCUGUUUGAGUAUCAUGAACACCUCAACUCCCAUGGUUUGCCAUGGUAGCUUGGACUUUGGAGGCUUUGCUGGCUCUUGGUCAGCUCCUCUCAAAUGAAUCAGCUUGCCAGUGUCUGGUGGUUCACAGGUGUGAUAAAUAUCUACGCCUGCGGUUUUCCACCAGGUAACCUUCAGCAACGGAGGUUCACUGGGGCUUAUAGAUGUCCCCCCCAGCGAGGACAAUCCUUUGAACGUUUGAUCUCAAAUCAGGUAGGACUACCCGCUGAACUUA